UGGGGAAUUUUGGACAAUGGGCGAAAGCCUGAUCCAGCAAUGCCGCGUGUGUGAAGAAGGCCUUCGGGUUGUAAAGCACUUUUGUCCGGAAAGAAAUCCUCUGGGUUAAUACCUCGGGGGGAUGACGGUACCGGAAGAAUAAGCACCGGCUAACUACGUGCCAGCAGCCGCGGUAAUACGUAGGGUGCAAGCGUUAAUCGGAAUUACUGGGCGUAAAGCGUGCGCAGGCGGUUUUGUAAGACGGAUGUGAAAUCCCCGGGCUUAACCUGGGAACUGCAUCCGUGACUGCAAGGCUAGAGUAUGGCAGAGGGGGGUAGAAUUCCACGUGUAGCAGUGAAAUGCGUAGAGAUGUGGAGGAAUACCGAUGGCGAAGGCAGCCCCCUGGGCCAAUACUGACGCUCAUGCACGAAAGCGUGGGGAGCAAACAGGAUU
rnacentral:rRNA from 1 species